AUACCAUGCUGAAAAGACUAAUUUGCUCAAGCAAAUCACCAAUGCAGAGCCAUUUAUAUGUGCAGUGAUGCCAGGAGUAGCUCUACACAGGUUGAAAGAACAAAAAACAAUACAAAAAGAAGUACUAAUGAUUAAAGACGUGUUCUGGAAGCCUUCAUCGAGUGCAGUCAAGUGCAAACUGUUCAUUCUACUUUCGGUUUUCCUCUUAGAUAGAAACUCACCGUCAAACGCAACUAUGAACUGUAUUGAUCAAGCUGUGAGAUAUAAAGCUCAAAACUUGAAGGAAGGCCACCAAGUUGCAGGCUCUCACACAAAGUUGCUGGGGUGGGAAAGAGAAGAGGGUGGAUUCAAGAUUGUAGUGGACUUCGGGGGCAGGGUUUGGGUUUGUUUCUGGAGAGGUGGAUUCAAAAAUUUUGAUCAAGUUUCGGGGAUAGUUUUUAGCAGGAAAAGAUGUAUGUGUUUGAUUUGGGUUGUUUAAAAUUGUGGUUUUGAUUAGGAAAUUGAUAUGUAUUUGUUGUUUUCUUUACAAUCUCACUCUUUGUUUCUGCGAAAUCGAUUCAUUUCAGUUGUUCGUAUAUAUAUGCAGGAAAUAACCGCCUCUGUUAUAGGAGAUUGAUAUGUAUUUGUGUUCUUAAAACAUUACUAAUUUGAUGUAUGAUAUAUACUAUUUUAUCACUUUCAUCAAAUAGUACCU